CCUACGGGUGGCUGCAGUGAGGAAUAUUGGUCAAUGGGCGGGAGCCUGAACCAGCCAAGUCGCGUGAGGGAAGACGGUCCUAUGGAUUGUAAACCUCUUUAGGCGGGGAGCAAUGCCGGGCACGCGUGCCCGGAGGGAGAGUACCCGCAGAAUAAGCAUCGGCUAACUCCGUGCCAGCAGCCGCGGUAAUACGGAGGAUGCGAGCGUUAUCCGGAUUUAUUGGGUUUAAAGGGUGCGUAGGCGGAUUUUUAAGUCAGCGGUAAAAGUGAGAGGCUCAACCUCUUCGAGCCGUUGAAACUGGUUGUCUUGAGUGAGUGAGAAGUAUGCGGAAUGCGUGGUGUAGCGGUGAAAUGCAUAGAUAUCACGCAGAACUCCGAUUGCGAAGGCAGCAUACCGGCGCUCAACUGACGCUCAUGCACGAAAGUGUGGGUAUCGAACAGGAUUAGAUACCCUUGUAGUC
rnacentral:rRNA from 1 species